rnacentral:rRNA from 1 species
UCCGUAGGCGGUGCGGCAAGUCGAUAGUGAAAUCCCUGGGCUUAACUCAGGGGCUGCUAACGAAACUGCCGUGCUAGAGUGUGAGAGAGGCGAGUGGAAUUACGGGUGUAGCGGUGAAAUGCGUAGAUAUCCGUAGGAACAUCCGAGGCGAAAGCGGCUCGCUGGAUCACAACUGACGCUGAGGGACGAAAGCUAGGGGAGCAAACAGGAUUAGAUACCCUGGUAGUCCUAGCCCUAAACCAUCAGGACUUGGGGUUUGCCCUGUACGGGGCAAGUCCCGUAGCUAACGUGUUAAGUCCCGCGCCUGGGGAGUACGGUCGCAAGGCUGAA